rfam:Salmo salar isolate Sally breed double haploid chromosome ssa01, whole genome shotgun sequence.
UAAAUUCAUGACUGUAAAUCGCUUUGGAUAAAAGUGUCAGCUAAAUGGCAUUUA